AUGCAUUUUAGUGUUUUGGCCUUCCCACAUCGUGUCUCGGAGCCUAUCAAGAGCCUUCCACGGUGUCCACAUAGUUAUCUGAAGAACCUACAUAUUACAGGAUUUUCGGGAACAACAGGACAACUUGAAUUUCUAGUGCACGUUGUUGAAAAUGCCCCUGCUCUGAAGAUACUGACGAUUAAAGGAGCUGACUCGAUUGGUCGUGAUCUCAAUCAUGAAGGGAAAAGAAAAUUUUCUUUGAAGUUCCGCGAAUUGGAGAGGAAAUACCUUCAUGGGAUAAUUUCACCAAAUGUGGACCUCCGUAUUAUUUAA
rnacentral:rRNA from 1 species